UUGAAUAUGGUAUAAUCGUGAGGUAGAAAAGUGAAAAGAUGGUGGCUAAUCUCUUGAAAAAGGGGUGAUGCCUAUGCGUUCAUAGCUUUAUCCCUAGAAGGGAGUAGGCACGUGUCAACUUUUGAAGCAAUUCAACUGAUGAUCGCUUUUGCGACGUUAGUUUUGCU
rnacentral:sRNA from 1 species